GACGAACCGUGCGAACGUUGUUCGGAAUCACUGGGCUUAAAGGGCGCGUAGGCGGCAUAGCAAGUCCGGGGUGAAAGCCCCCGGCUCAACUGGGGAAGUGCCUUGGAAACUGCUGUGCUCGAGGGAGGUAGGGGUCGAGGGAACUUCUGGUGGAGCGGUGAAAUGCGUUGAUAUCGGAAGGAACUCCGGUGGCGAAAGCGGCGUGCUGGAUCUCUUCUGACGCUGAGGCGCGAAAGCUAGGGGAGCAAACGGG
rnacentral:rRNA from 1 species